rnacentral:lncRNA from 1 species
GGAGACUGCAAACUCAAAUCCACUGCUUGUGGCUUUCCCCAAAGGCUGGGACAAGGGGUGACCUUCUCCUCUGCUCCCCUCAAAGUGCUCCUGGGUCCUUCUGGGCUCUGUGUGUGCAGCCCAUGUGGGUGCUGGGUGUGAGGCAGCAGUUUCAGCUUGGAGCUCAGGGAGCGGAGGUACCCGUGCAAGAAGUUAGGGACAACCACCACCAGGUUAAUGUUGCUGAUGUUUCUUAAGGAGCUGUUGCACACACUGGUUUUUCCUUCAUUUCAACAGCACAUCAUCGUGCAGUGUCACUGCAGGGUGGCAAAGAAAGACUUGGAAAAAGCACAUGAGACUUAUGUUAGCUCUAAACAUCAGAAGUUGGGGGAAAUUACUGUACAGAGAGUUCAAGACUACAAAUUGAAGCAAAUGUUUCUAUUUCUGCUCAUAAGAUUGAGUCAGACUAGCCCCAAAAUGUUAUGUGCCAUUUCUCAGAUGGCACGAGCUGAGCAUUAGCCCAUCAAUAACGCACUGUCUCUUAUACAGUGCAUUUGCAGCCCCAGUUUUCAUUGCACUUCAUAGCUGGGACAAAGAAGCAGAGGGUUUGGACAAAUGUGUAAAUGCUUCUUCAAUCCUCUAGGUGGAAGACUGAGAAAAAUCUCAUUACGGAUGUAACUUGUCCCAGCAAGCAAAACCACAAGUGCAGUCACUCCUUGGCCUUCUUUGUUCCAUGUCAGCUGUGAAUCAGGCAUGUGGGCUGGGAGGAUGGUGUGGGUCUGCGAGGUCGUCCACUGAAAUAGUCUGACAAACAGACCUCGGAGCCCACAGAUGGAUGUUGUGUCUCUUGACUCCUCUGUUCCAUACGCUGUUUUGCAAUAAACACAUCACUUCUUCUGUACAUUGUUGUGCAAAAGUGGAAAGAUGGGCUGUGCCCCAGCAGUGUGCUCCCUCUCCUGUGCAUUGGUUGGGCUGAGCAGUGUGGGGCUGGUGCAGGUCCAGCAGGGCUAUGCUGUGCUGUGUCGUGCUACAGCAACACCCUGCUGCAGAAAUACCCCACUACAUAAAUACCCCAUGGCAGUGACACCCCGCUGUGGCAAUACCUUGCUGCAGUCACAGCUGCAGCAGAAACAGCCCGCAGUGCAGGGCAGAGCCUGGCACAGCCCCACGGCACCGCGGCACUCCUUGCGCCGGGGAAAUCCCCAGCCAAAGGUAGCGAAAGCACAGUGUUGCCCCACAGAGCCAGACUGCUUAAUCCCCAGUGAAGCAGGUAGGGAAGCAGUUGCCGGACCCAAGGGCUGAGUCACAUCAGGUCGGCAAGCAGAGCUCCCACUGCCACUGACAUCAGAGAGCAUGCAGCACGCUCAUCUCUGCCCCAGGUGACGCACAUCCAUCCGGUGAGAAGGCUCCGAGGCUCUGUCCCACAUUGUGCUGGCAGUGUAGUCCCAGCACCAUGCCUGUGCUUCUGGCCAGGAUGAAGGAAAUCAGAGCUUCCUGAGCUGUGCUGGAUACCACUCAAAUGCUCC